rnacentral:rRNA from 1 species
UACGAAGGGUGCAAACGUUGCUCGGAAUUAUUGGGCGUAAAGCGCACGUAGGCGGCUUGGCAAGUCGGAUGUGAAAUCCUUCGGCUCAACCAAGGAAGUGCAUCCGAAACUGCUGAGCUUGAGUACGAAAGAGGAUCGCGGAAUUCCCGGUGUAGAGGUGAAAUUCGUAGAUAUCGGGAGGAACACCAGUGGCGAAGGCGGCGAUCUGGGUCGAUACUGACGCUGAGGUGCGAAAGCGUGGGGAGCAAACAGG